AUACGGAGGGUGCAAGCGUUAUCCGGAUUUAUUGGGUUUAAAGGGUGCGCAGGCGGACCUGUCAGUCAGUGGUGAAAUCCCGGGGCUCAACCCCGGAACUGCCAUUGAUACUACAGGUCUUGAAUACGGUUGAAGUAGGCGGAAUGUAGCAUGUAGCGGUGAAAUGCAUAGAUAUGCUACAGAACACCGAUCGCGAAGGCAGCUUACUAAGCCGAUAUUGACGCUCAGGCACGAAAGCGAGGGUAGCGAACAGGAUUAGAAACCCUAGUAGUCC
rnacentral:rRNA from 1 species